GACAGAGGUCCCGAGCGUUAGGCGGAAUCACUGGGCUUAAAGCGUGUGUAGGCGGAUGCCUAAGUACCUUGUGAAAUCCCACGGCUCACCCGUGGAACUGCUGGGUAUACUGGGUGUCUUGAGCCACCUAGGGGCGAGCGGAACAAGUGGUGGAGCGGUGAAAUGCGUAGAUAUCAGGAGGAACACCGGUGGCGAAGGCGGGUCUCUGGGCAGUAACUGACGCUGAGGAGCGAAAGCGUGGGGAGCGAACAGG
rnacentral:rRNA from 1 species